rnacentral:rRNA from 1 species
CCUACGGGAGGCAGCAGUAGGGAAUAUUGCUCAAUGGGGGAAACCCUGAAGCAGCAACGCCGCGUGGAGGAUGAAGGUUUUCGGAUUGUAAACUCCUUUUGUUAGAGAAGAUAAUGACGGUAUCUAACGAAUAAGCACCGGCUAACUCCGUGCCAGCAGCCGCGGUAAUACGGAGGGUGCAAGCGUUACUCGGAAUCACUGGGCGUAAAGAGCGCGUAGGCGGGAUAGCAAGUCAGAUGUGAAAUCCUAUGGCUUAACCAUAGAACUGCAUUUGAAACUGUUAUUCUAGAGUAUGGGAGAGGUAAGUGGAAUUCUUGGUGUAGGGGUGAAAUCCGUAGAGAUCAAGAAGAAUACUCAUGGCGAAGGCGACCUGCUAGAACAUAACUGACGCUGAUGCGCGAAAGCGUGGGGAGCGAACAGGAUUAGAUACCCUUGUAGUC